GCGGGGGCGCCGAGGGCGGGGGAGCGGGCCCGACUCGCAGGACCGGGCCGGGGCCGCGCGGGCCGCGCCGUUCGGGAGCGGGCCCCGCGGGCGGGCCGGGCGGGGCGGGAGCCGCCGCGGAGCCUUCGGGCCGCCGCGACCAUGUCGGACCAGGCGCCCAAAGUUCCCGAGGAGAUGUUCAAAGAGGUCAAGUACUACGCGGUGGGCGACAUCGACCCGCAGGUUAUUCAGCUUCUAAAAGCUGGGAAAGCUAAGGAAGUGUCGUACAAUGCACUCGCCUCACACAUCAUUUCAGAAGACGGGGACAAUCCGGAGGUGGGAGAAGCUCGGGAAGUCUUUGAUUUGCCUGUAGUCAAGCCUUCCUGGGUGAUUCUGUCCGUUCAAUGUGGAGCUCUUCUGCCAGUAAAUGGCUUUUCUCCGGAGUCAUGUCAGAUUUUCUUUGGAAUCACUGCCUGCCUCUCUCAGGUGUCCCCUGAGGACAGAAGCGCCCUGUGGGCCAUGCUCACCUUCCAUGGCGGGGGCUGCCAGCUGACUCUCGACAAGAAGUGCACGCACCUGGUUGUUCCAGAACCAAAGGGGGAGAAAUAUGAAUGUGCUUUAAAGAGAGCAAGUAUUAAAAUCGUGACACCUGACUGGGUCCUGGAUUGCAUAUCUGAGAAGACGAAGAAGGACGAAGCACUUUACCACCCUCGUCUCAUCGUUUAUGAAGAGGAAGGGGAGGAGGACGAGGACGAGGAGGGGGUGGAAAACGAGGAACAAGAUUCCCAAAAUGAGGGCAGCACAGACGAGAAGUCGAGCCCCGCCAGUUCUCAGGAAGGCUCCCCCUCGGGGGACCAGCAGUUUUCACCCAAAUUGAACACUGAAAAAUCUAAAGGGGAAUUGAUGUUUGACGAUUCUUCAGAUUCGUCCCCUGAAAAACAAGAGAGAAAUUUAAACUGGACCCCCGCGGAGGUCCCGCAGUUAGCGGCGGCGAAGCGCAGGCUGCCUCCCGGCCAGGAGCCCGGGUUAAUUAACUUGUGUGCCAACGUGCCGCCCGUCCCAGGGAACAUCCUGCCCCCCGAGGUCCGCGGUAAUCUAAUGGCUUCGGGACAAAACCUCCAGAGUUCCGAAAGGUCAGAGAUGAUAGCCGCUUGGAGUCCAGCUGUGCGGACGUUGCGAAACAUCACUAACAGUGCUGACAUUCAGCAGAUCAACCGGCCGGCCAACGUAGCACACAUCUUACAGUCCCUCGCAGCUCCGACGAAGACCUUAGAGCCGCAGGUGAACCACGGCCAGCAGGGCCACGCGAACGCAGCGCUGCUCAGCCAGGCGCAAGUGACCCCGGAGGCGCAUCUGUCGCCGCCGCCGCCGCCGCCCGUCCUGCACCUGCCGCCCCAGCAGGCCCUGCAGCUCCAGCAGCAGCCUUACCCGCCGCCGCCGCCGCACCCGUUUCGGCCGCCGCUGCAGGCCCACCAGCCUCAGUUCCCCCCGCAGCAGCAGGCGCUGCAGCACCAGCUCGCACACUUGCAGCAGCUCCAGCGCCUGCACCAGCAGCAGAUGCAAACGCAGGCGCCCCAGGCCCUGCCGUGCCAGCCGCAGCACCAGCUGUUCGGACACGACCCAGCAGUAGAGAUUCCAGAAGAAGGCUUCUUACUGGGAUGUGUGUUCGCAGUUGCGGAUUAUCCAGAGCAGAUGUCUGACAAACAGCUGCUGGCCACCUGGAAAAGGAUAAUCCAGGCGCACGGAGGUGCCGUGGACCCCACGUUCUCGAGCCGCUGCACGCACCUGCUCUGUGAGAGUCAAGUGAGCGGGCUGUUCGCACAGGCGGUGAAGGAGAGGAAGAGGUGUGUCACGGCGCACUGGCUGAACGCGGUGCUGAAGAAGAAGCGGCUCGUGCCGCCCCAUCGGGCCCUGCACUUCCCCGUGGCCUUCCCGCCCGGGGGGAGGCCGUGCUCCCAGCACAUUAUUUCUGUGACUGGAUUUGUCGACCGCGACAGGGACGACCUGAAGUUGAUGGCUUACCUGGCGGGUGCCAAGUACACGGGCUAUCUCUGCCGCAGCAACACAGUGCUCAUCUGUAAAGAACCAACUGGUUUAAAGUAUGAGAAAGCCAAAGAGUGGAGGAUCCCGUGCGUGAACGCCCAGUGGCUGGGAGACAUCCUUCUGGGGAACUUGGAGGCCCUGCGGCAGAUCCAGUACGGCCGCUACACCACCUUCAGCCUGCAGGACCCCUUCGCCCCGGCUCCGCACUUGGUUUCAAACCUUCUGGAUGCUUGGAGAGUUCCGUUGAAAGUGUCAGCAGAGUUGCUGAUGGGUGUACGACUACCUCCCAAACUGAAGCAGAAUGAAGCAACUAAUAUCCAGCCCUCUUCCAAAAGAGCCAGGCGUUCUUUUCUAUGUGUAUUUUAUAGAAUUGAAGAUAUACCACCUCCCACUAAGAAGUUAACACCAGAAUUGACCCCUUUUGUGCUUUUCACUGGAUUUGAGCCUGUUCAAGUUCAACAGUAUAUUAAGAAGCUCUACAUUCUUGGCGGGGAGGUCGCCGAGUCUGCGCAGAAGUGCACCCACCUCGUCUCCAGCAAGGUGACGCGCACCGUGAAGUUCCUGACGGCCAUCUCCGUGGUGAAGCACAUCGUUACUCCGGAGUGGCUGGAGGAGUGUUUCAAGUGUCAGAAGUUCAUUGGUGAGUAGCAGCAUCUGCACCUCAGUGAACUUACUCCAAGAAAAAACCCUUUUAAGUUGGCAUUAUCUCCAUUUGCAUCCCAGCAAACAUCUAGUUCAUUUUUCAACUCUGUUAUUUAUCCAUGUAAAUUCAUAAACUUAUUCCGUGGUCCAGUCAUCUGAUGUGAUAUCUUUGCAUCUUACCAUGAAACGUAGAGGUUUUGGUAAUUUGGAAGGUAUUGAGGGAAGAAUAAGCUCUGCAUCCCUGCCGUGUUGUUUCCUGAUGUGAGCGUAGUUUGUUUGGAACGCUGGCUGUCGAAUGAGGUUCCACACGCAGUACAGCGCACGGCGGGGAGCCCGGCAACGUCCUGGGAACGUCGGGGCAGGUGGGAGGGUCAGCGCGUCCCUCCCUUGCCCGUCUCCCGCCGUCCAGGGCACCGAAAGUGAAAUCCUGUUACUGGCAGUGACACUUAGAGAUAGGUUUUUUCUUAGAUUAGUCAGUGCACCCAUGUGUUUUUAGAACCUUGCUAGUCAGCACAGAGCGAACAUGAUUCCAAGUGACUUUUCUCCGCAGAAUAGAUUUGCAGCUUCGUCUCACGUGUGUUUCCUCUGUGAGGGCAUUUCACAGCCCGCUGCCCUCAGGGCACUGGACAGCACUGUGCUUGCAGGCCGAUUAGACAGCAAAAAUCACUGACAAAAGCGCAAAGAUGUGAGGAAAGUAGCACUAAAUGGACCACAGAAGGACCCUUGUUCUCAGAAUGAGCUGACCCAUGGCGAGCACCGCCGUGUCGGCCCCAGCGGGAGGCGCCACGGGGGCAGCUCUGCCACGUCCACAGAGAAGAACUGGAAAGCACCACAGACGCUGGUUGUGAGGUUACAAAUAAAUUGUACCGAGUGGGCAUAGUCACAAAUACAAAAUCCACAAAUAACGAGGAUCAACUAUAUUAUGUAGUGUUUAGAAAUUUUCAGUUGAAUACCAUAAAAGUAGAUUAGCUCUCAAUUUUGUAUGAGAGCUAUAAAGUUCAGAAUGAGAGAGUCUGUUCUUUAAUUGAAAUUUGAGUUGCUUAAUUUAUCAAGCUUACCAGUCUGUGAAAACAAACAUUUUUUACCUGUUUAUGAAAGUUAUAACAAUUCAUAUUUGAUGGGCAGUUUUAGCUGACUUUCAUUUCUUUAUGGCCUUAUUAAUGUUUGCUGUGUUGAUUUCUGAGUGUUUAUAAGGUGGUUCUGGUCUUAUUAUAAACAAUACUCAAUAUUGAAUAGCCAAACACAUUUCAUAUUUGAUCCCUCAAAUUUCAGGAUUUCUUAACUUUUCCAGAUUGUCAUAUAGUUGGAAUUACACAGGAUGCAGCCUUUUCACGUUGGCUUCUUGGUCACAUGCAUUUAUGUUUCCUCUGUGUCUUCUUAGCUCAUGUCUUUUUAGCACCAAAGACUAUCCCACUGUCUGGAUACCCUCAGUUUAUUUAUCCACUCACCUACUGAAGGGCAUCUUGGUUGCUUCCAAGUUUUGGCAAUUACAAAUAAAGCUGUAUUCUGUGUGCAGCUUUUGUGUGGAUGUAAGUUUUCAACUCGUUUGGCUAAAUACCAAGCAGUGCAAUUGCUGAAUCAUACGAGACUAGGUUUAGUUUUGUAAGAAACCAUCGAACUGUCUCCCAAAGCAUUGGUACCAGUUUGCUUUCCCAGCAGCAGAGUUCCUGUUGCUCCACGUCCUUGCCAGCAUUUGGGGUUGUCAGUUUCUGACCAUUUUAAUAGUUGUGUGGUGGUACCUCAUUUUUGUUUUAAUUUGCAUUUCCCUGAUGACAUACCGUGUUAAGCGUGUUCUCAUGUGUUUAUUUGCUAUCUGUAUAUCUUCUGUGUUCACGCAUCUGUUCAGAUCUUUUGUCCAUUUUCUAACUGGGUUCUCUUAUUGUUGAGUUUUGAGAGUUCUUUGUAUAUUUUGGGUAACAAACAGUCCUUUAUCAGAUGCAUCUUUUGCAAAUAUUUUCUCCUAGUCUGUGGCCUGUCUUCUCAUUCUCUUGACAUUGUCUUUGACAGAGUGGAAGUGUUCGAUUUUAAUGAAGUCCAGGUUGUCAGUUAUUUCUUCAUGGAUCAUGCCUUUGGUUUUGUAUCUAGUCAUCACUGUACCCAAAGCCAUCUUGGUUUGCUCCUGUUAUCUUUUAGGAGUUUUAGUUUUGUGUUUUACAUUUAGAUCUGUGGUCUGUUUUCAGUUACUUUUUGUGAAGGUGUAAGGUCUGUGUCUAGAUUCAGUGUGUGUGUGUGUGUGUGUGGACAUCCACUUGUCUGUCCCCUUGCGCUCGCUGCCUGUGCUCGUAGGCAGAAUGGGGGUCUGCACUGAGCUCUCGUUGUGUCCAUCCAUCUGUCCUUUCACUCAGGGCUUUACAGUGCGUCUGGAAGUCGGGUCCUCAGUCUCCCAGCUUUGCUCUUCUUGAGUUGGCUGUGCUGUGUCUUUUGUGUUGUCAUAUAAACUUUAAAAUCAUUUAGCUGAUAUCCACUAGUCAUUUACUUUUAAUACAGACUUGAGACAUUUUGUUUUGCCAAAAGUUUACAUUUUGAGGUUGUUCCUGAAAUUUCUCAAGAAUACGAACCUUAGGUUAUUAGUUCUGGCAGUUAGUAUCUGAAAUUUUGCAUUCUGAUUCAUUUCUUAUUUCUUUC